GGCUUAACACAUGCAAGUCGAGCGGAGAGAGGUAGCUUGCUACUGAUCUUAGCGGCGGACGGGUGAGUAAUGCUUAGGAAUCUGCCUAUUAGUGGGGGACAACAUUUCGAAAGGAAUGCAAAUACCGCAUACGUCCUACGGGAGAAAGCAGGGGAUCUUCGGACCUUGCGCUAAUAGAUGAGCCUAAGUCGGAUUAGCUAGUUGGUGGGGUAAAGGCCUACCAAGGCGACGAUCUGUAGCGGGUCUGAGAGGAUGAUCCGCCACACUGGGACUGAGACACGGCCCAGACUCCUACGGGAGGCAGCAGUGGGGAAUAUUGGACAAUGGGCGCAAGCCUGAUCCAGCCAUGCCGCGUGUGUGAAGAAGGCCUUAUGGUUGUAAAGCACUUUAAGCGAGGAGGAGGCUACUUUAGAUAAUACCUAGAGAUAGUGGACGUUACUCGCAGAAUAAGCACCGGCUAACUCUGUGCCAGCAGCCGCGGUAAUACAGAGGGUGCAAGCGUUAAUCGGAUUUACUGGGCGUAAAGCGCGCGUAGGCGGCUAAUUAAGUCAAAUGUGAAAUCCCCGAGCUUAACUUGGGAAUUGCAUUCGAUACUGGUUAGCUAGAGUGUGGGAGAGGAUGGUAGAAUUCCAGGUGUAGCGGUGAAAUGCGUAGAGAUCUGGAGGAAUACCGAUGGCGAAGGCAGCCAUCUGGCCUAACACUGACGCUGAGGUGCGAAAGCAUGGGGAGCAAACAGGAUUAGAUACCCUGGUAGUCCAUGCCGUAAACGAUGUCUACUAGCCGUUGGGGCCUUUGAGGCUUUAGUGGCGCAGCUAACGCGAUAAGUAGACCGCCUGGGGAGUACGGUCGCAAG
rnacentral:rRNA from 1 species